UGGGAAGUCUCCAGAGGAGUCCCAAGGGUCCAGGGCAUCAUGGGAUAGUGGCGGUCCCAGGGGGAUUCCCAGGGGGCCUGAGGCAUCAUGGGAUAGUGGGAGUCUCGGGGGGGUCCCGGGGGGGUCCCAGGGCAUCAUGGGAUAGUGGGGGUCACUGGGGGGGGGUCUCAAGGGUCCCAGAGCAUUGUGGGAUAUUGGGGGACACGAUGGGGGGGGAACAACGCCUGCCCCGGGGGAUUGUGGGAUGGGGGGGGAAAUCUCACCAUGGCGGCUCGCCGGGGGGGUGCAGCACCUGCGGGAGGCAAAGAUUGAGCGGGCCCAGGGGUCCGGGCCGGGACAACAGGGGCCCAGGCGUCCGGGAAGGGAACCAAGCGGAGACCAUAGAGAGACAGGUCCUCCCGCAGGCCUAGAGCGGCCCCGUUAACCCCCCUCCCCUCACUUCCGCCUUUUAAAGGGAUAAAUAACGGGUGGAGAGAAAUAACGGCGCUUACCGGAGCCGGACACCUGGGUCACCUGCGGGGCGGGGCGGCGCGGGGGAUGAUGGGAUAGAGGCGGGGCCCGAAGGAGGGAGGGAGGAGGCGCGAGGCACGCCGGGAUACACCGAGGCGCCCUACGGAAGCCGCCGCGGGCCGCUCCGCCCUUUUCCCGCCUCCGAGGCGCCCUACGGAAGCCGCCGGGGGCCUCAAAGCCCUUUUCACGCCUCCUCGCAGCGCCGCGCGGGGCAUGACGGGAUACACACCCCUCCCUGCUAGCGGCGCGCGGUGCACACCGGGAUACACCGAGGCGCCCUACGGAAGCCGCCACGGGCCGCUCCCCCCUUUUCCCGCCUCCUGCCUGCACCGCGCGGGGCGCGCCGGGAUACAUCCCCCCCCCCGUUCCCUGGGCCGCGCGGGGCACGCCGGGAUACAGCGUGGCGCCUCCACGCGCCGCCAUGGGGGUGAGGCGCCGCGGCGGCCGCGGCUCCUCAGCGCCGACACCGGGGCCGGUUCCCGGCGCCGAAGCGGAACCGGCCCCGGUGCUGGAUCCCGCCACGGCCGCUUAUUUCCGCCGGGCCCUGGUGGCGCUUCCUGAUUGGCCAGCUGGGUGUGGGGGGGUGUUCCCUGCUCCUGGAGGUGGAUCCUGAUUGGCUCGUUGCUCCUGAGCCCAUUUCUUAUUGGCUGGGGAGGUUCCUAGAGCUGCUUUGCGAUUGGCUCUCACGCCCCAGUGCUCUUUCCUCAUUGGAUAGCUGGCUGCAAGGCUGCUCCCUAUUGGCUGAGGGGGGCUUUCAGUGCUGCUUUCUGAUUGGCCAGCAGCCCUGAGCACCUCUUUCUGAUUGGCUCCCUACCCACAAGGCUGCUCCCUAUUGGUCGAGAGGCUCUUGAGGCUGCUUUCUGAUUGGCUGGCAGUCCAAAGUGCUGUUUCCUGAUUGGCCAGCUGGCUCUGCACCUCUUCCCGAUUGGCUGGGUGCUCUCUGGGGUUGGUUUCCGAUUGGCUGCUUGUUCCUAAUACCCUGUGCUGAUUGGCCGGCUGGCCUUGGGGCUCUUCCCAAUUGGCUGGGAGCUCUGUGGGGAUGGCUCCUGAUUGGCCGGCUGUCCUUGCUGCCCCUUCCUGAUAGGCUUGUGGGCUGUGGGGCCGUUCCCCCUUGCGCAGCUCUUUGCUACAGCUGAAUGCUGAUUGGCUAGUCAUCCUUGUCUCUGCUUCCUGAUUGGCUGGGGGUUCCCAGGGUCUGCUUCCUGAUUGGCUGGCAGUCUUAAAAGCCCUUUUGUGAUUGGCUGGCUGCCGGUGGGGCUGUUUGCCACUGCGCGGAGGUUCCACAGAGCCGAGUGCUGAUUGGCCAGCGGCUCUUGGGCCUCUUUCCGAUUGGCUGGGGGCUCCCUGGUGCUAAGCCCUGAUUGGCCGGGACCCCUGAACGCCCCUUUCUGAUUGGCCGGGACCCCUGAACGCCCCUUUCUGAUUGGCCGGAUGUCCAU
rnacentral:lncRNA from 1 species